rnacentral:rRNA from 1 species
GACGAACGCUGGCGGCGUGCUUAACACAUGCAAGUCGAACGGAAAGGCCCUGCUUUUGUGGGGUGCUCGAGUGGCGAACGGGUGAGUAACACGUGAGUAACCUGCCCUUGACUUUGGGAUAACUUCAGGAAACUGGGGCUAAUACCGGAUAGGAGAUCUGGCUCCACGGUGGGGGGUGGAAAGUUUCGGCGGUUGGGGAUGGACUCGCGGCGUAUCAGCUUGUUGGUGGGGUAGUGGCCUACCAAGGCUUUGACGGGUAGCCGGCCUGAGAGGGUGACCGGCCACAUUGGGACUGAGGUACGGCACGGACUGCUACGGGAGGCAGCGGUGGGGAAUAUUGCACAAUGGUCGGAAGCCUGAUGCAACGACGCCGCGUGCGGGAUGACGGCCUUCGGGUUGUAAACCGCUUUCGCCUGGGACGAAGCGUGAGUGACGGUAAUGGGUAAAGAAGCACCGGCUAACUACGUG